GACGAACGCUGGCGGCGUGCCUAAUACAUGCAAGUUGAGCGCUGAAGGUUGGUACUUGUCCCCACUGGAUGAGCAGCGAACGGGUGAGUAACGCGUGGGGAAUCUGCCUUUGAGCGGGGGACAACAUUUGGAAACGAAUGCUAAUACCGCAUAAAAACUUUAAACACAAGUUUUAAGUUUGAAAGAUGCAAUUGCAUCACUCAAAGAUGAUCCCGCGUUGUAUUAGCUAGUUGGUGAGGUAAAGGCUCACCAAGGCGAUGAUACAUAGCCGACCUGAGAGGGUGAUCGGCCACAUUGGGACUGAGACACGGCCCAAACUCCUACGGGAGGCAGCAGUAGGGAAUCUUCGGCAAUGGACGAAAGUCUGACCGAGCAACGCCGCGUGAGUGAAGAAGGGUUUCGGAUCGUAAAACUCUGUUGGUAGAGAAGAACGUUGGUGAGAGUGGAAAGCUCAUCAAGUGACGGUAACUACCCAGAAAGGGACGGCUAACUACGUG
rnacentral:rRNA from 1 species